CGGAACACGUACGCAACAUACCUUUAUCUGGGGCAUAGCCCGAAGAAAUUCGGAUUAACACCCCAUAAGAUUAUAGAGUGGCAUCACUCAGUAAUUAAAAAUUCAUUGGAUAGAGAUUGGCGUGCGUCCUAUUAGCUAGUUGGUGGGGUAAAGGCCUACCAAGGCGACGAUAGGUAGCUGGUGCGAGAGCACGACCAGCCACACGGGCACUGAGACACGGGCCCG
rnacentral:rRNA from 1 species